AGCAGUAGCCGCGGGAAUACGUAGGGCGCAAGCGUUAUCCGGAACUAUUGGGCGUAAAGAGCUCGUAGGCGGUUCGUCGCGUCUGCCGUGAAAGUCCGGGGCUCAACCCCGGAUCUGCGGUGGGUACGGGCAGACUAGAGUGAUGUAGGGGAGACUGGAAUUCCUGGUGUAGCGGUGAAAUGCGCAGAUAUCAGGAGGAACACCGAUGGCGAAGGCAGGUCUCUGGGCAUUAACUGACGCUGAGGAGCGAAAGCAUGGGGAGCGAACAGGAUUAGAGACCCCGGUAGUCCCCUGUCUCUUAUA
rnacentral:rRNA from 1 species